AGAGUAAAUAAAGAACUCAUGACAAUUUAAAUAAAAAGCAUAAUCUUUAUUGCAUAUAAAGAAAUACAAGAAAGUUUAGAACAAUAAACCCGCUCUGUGUCGUUACAAAGUUUCUCCUCCACUCCCGAGACUGCUAGCCUAGCUGCUCAUGAAGUAGUCCCUUUCAUUUCCUCUAUGCAAGGCUCUAGAAGAAUUUCUGGGAUGAUCCUCAAAUAGAAGUACAAGAGCCUUUUUAUAGGUGUUAGGAGGGAGGAGUUUUACAUGAUUUUUCGAUAUGGGACUAAAGAAAAAAAUACUAAAGACCG
rnacentral:lncRNA from 1 species